CAUGGAGGGUGAGAAUCCCGUCCGGCUGACCUUCAGGACGUUUUACGAUACGCUCUCAAAGAGUCGAGUUGUUUGGGAUUGCAGCUCAAAAUGGGAGGUAAAUUUCUCCUAAGGCUAAAUACCGGCGAGAGACCGAUAGCGAACAAGUACCGUGAGGGAAAGAUGAAAAGAAUUUUGAAAAGAAAGUCAAACAGUACGUGAAAUUGUUGAAAAGGAAACGAUUGAAGCCAGUCGUACCGACGGGAAUUCAACUUCUCGAGUGCUAAUCGUGGGUGACGUUGAGCCUCACGGCCUUCGUUGCUUGUGUUGUUGGUGCUUUUGGGGUGUACUUUUCCGUAUUGGUAGGUCAGCAUCGAUUUCGAUCGUCAUAAAAUGAUCGGGGGAAUGUAGCUUCGGUCUCGUAUCGGAGUGUUAUAGACCUUGGUAGAUGUGACGAUUGGGAUCGAGGAUUGCAACGAAUACCCUUUGGGCUAUCCGUCUGUCCUCUGAAAGUCGCUCGGGUGUCGAAAGCGUGCUUAUGGCUAUUCGAGUUGGCGGUCAACAGGUUAGAACGUGAUUACAUUCGUUAAGGAUGUUGACGUAAUGG
rnacentral:rRNA from 1 species